AUGGCGGCGAUUCCUCCAGACUCUUGGCAGCCGCCCAACGUGUACCUGGAGACCAGCACGGGGAUCAUCAUGCUGGAGCUGUACUGGAAGCAUGCUCCGAAGACCUGUAAGAACUUCGCUGAAUUGGCUCGUUGAGGUUACUACAAUGGCACCAAAUUCCACAGAAUCAUCAAAGACUUUAUAAUCCAGGGAGGUGACCCAACAGGGACAGGUCGAGGUGGUGCAUCUAUCUAUGGCAAGCAGUUUGAAGAUUAACUUCAUCCAGACUUGAAAUUCACAGGGGCUGGAAUUCUCGCGAUGGCCAAUGCAGGGCCUGACACCAACGGCAGCCAGUUCUUUGUGACCCUGGCUCCCACCCAGUGGCUUGAUGGCAAACACACCAUUUUUGGCCGUGUGUGUCAGGGUAUAGGCAUGGUGAAUCGAGUUGGAAUGGUGGAAACAAACUCCCAGGACCGCCCCGUGGAUGAUGUGAAGAUCAUUAAGGCAUACCCUUCCGGGUAGACUUGCUGCCCUCUCGGACACACCCAGGUCUUCUGAGAUGGCCCCAACAAACCAGUUUGCAGAUGACCUAGAAUGACACAUAACUCUAAACUUCAUUUUGGCCUUGCAGAUCUGAGGCGCUGAGGAGGCCUGGGGUCUUGGGUGAGUUAGAGAUGGAAGUGUAUUUUAGUCAGAUGCUUCUUUUUCUUCCCCAGUGCCUGUGUUGACUGAACAUUUGCAGAAAUGCUCUUCAUGAUCUUCUCACUGCACGUGACCCAGACUGCUCCUUCCUGUGUGUCUCUGCUUUAUGUACUUCAGAGUGAAGCCAACUCUGUCAUUUCGCAGUGCCUAACCAACCUCUUGUGGAAAUUUAUAUUCCGGCCUACAUUGCAGUCUUUAGUGGCUGACAGCCAUAGAAUUCAAAACCAAGUAGUGUCUAUCAGCCUUCUUAA